GACGAACGCUGGCGGUGUGCUUAACACAUGCAAGUCGAACGGAAAGGCCCUGCUUUUGUGGGGUGCUCGAGUGGCGAACGGGUGAGUAACACGUGAGUAACCUGCCCUUGACUUUGGGAUAACUUCAGGAAACUGGGGCUAAUACCGGAUAGGAGCUCCUGCUGCAUGGUGGGGGUUGGAAAGUUUCGGCGGUUGGGGAUGGACUCGCGGCUUAUCAGCUUGUUGGUGGGGUAGUGGCUUACCAAGGCUUUGACGGGUAGCCGGCCUGAGAGGGUGACCGGCCACAUUGGGACUGAGAUACGGCCCAGACUCCUACGGGAGGCAGGAGUGGGGAAUAUUGCACAAUGGGCGGAAGCCUGAUGCAGCAACGCCGCGUGCGGGAUGACGGCCUUCGGGUUGUAGACCGCUUUCGCCUGUGACGAAGCGUGAGUGACGGUAAUGGGUAAAGAAGCACCGGCUAACUACGUG
rnacentral:rRNA from 1 species